ensembl:lncRNA
UUUUCUUGGAUGAAGGCUGGUUCCUGUGAAGGAGUGUUGUGUAGCUAGAGAUCCUAUCGCUAGUUGGAUCUCACCAUGGAAGACAACUUUUGAAAUAUUUACAUUUUGUUGAUCAGAAAGAGAGCACAGUAACUACCACUGUAAUGGCUUCAGCCUAGAUGAACCUAGAUUUAAGGUUUCAUUUCCUUCCCCAAAUUAAGGAGAGGAUUGCAGGGUUAGCCCAUGAAGAAUCCACAAGCUUCAUGAUGUCAGAUGAGAGCCAUCUCCAGCUGUUGCCAGAAGGGACCUACUGCUGGCCAGAACUGAGCUGGAUGGACACACAUAGUUCCUUCAGCCUGUCUUCAAGCACUGAACUCUGUUUUGCUCACAUUCAUUGUGGUUUUUUGCUGACCUAACUUCACUGUCGUGGUACGUUCUAUGGAGCCCACAGUUGAACAUAGCACUCAGAUAUGGUUUCACAAGUGCAAGUUACACUCUUCUUAACAUAACCCAGUGCACAAUCGACCUUCUAUGAUCAAGGGUGUGAUAAUGAAGAGAACUAUUAGGUCUGCUUUUGUCUAGCAAGUCUUAUUCCAUAGUUUGCUGUGUGGCUUGAGAUUACUCUAUUCCUCUAUUACUCUAUUCAGAUGCAGAACUUUGCAUUUUCAUUUGUGGGACCUUAUGAUGUCCUGUUUGUUUCUUGCAGUACCCCGAAGAAAAUGAUUGUGCUCAUUUCAACAAAAAUAUGUGAAUGUUACUGUUGCAGUUCUUAUAGAAAAUUAUAAUCUGUGAAGCUCUUUUCUGGUGAUUUACUUGCAUUUUAUAAUCCCUGAAAUUAAAGCCC